rnacentral:lncRNA from 1 species
GCAGGUAGAGCGAGUAGCUGGGGUGGUGAGCCAGGGAGGCACUGGCCUCCAGAGUCCGUGGCCAAGGAGGGCCUUGCGGGCGGCGACGGAGCAGUGAUCGGUGUCUCGAAGAGCUCGGACUGGAGACUAGGCCAGGUCUCCAGCAGAGGUGGAUGUGCCUGCCAGUCACUGAAGGCGAGGAUGACAGGUGUGGUCAAUGUGACAGAAAGACAUGACAUGGUCCGGUGUGAUGGAGAGGACAGAAGGGCAGUCAUCCAGCCUUCUUGAACACCAUGGGCUGGCGCCUUGUCGUAGAAGCCGUCUGUUCUUUCACUUUUCCCAAAGAGCUAACACUUCUCUGCUGCUCUCUGGAUCCUCCUCCCCCUACCUUGAACCCUCAAGAUGAAAGGUGAGUUCUCUUCUGCCCCAUGUGGGUGGGAGAGGGUGGGAUGCCAAGGACAGGGGUCUCAUUCUCUCCCACCCAUAGAAAUGGUGCUACCCAGCUCAUGUCUGGGCCUUUGAAUCCGGGGACUUCUUUAAGUCCGUCUCGUUCUGAAUCAAGAAGAUGCUGCAAUCAGAACCACUACACUACCUGCCUCAGGAAUCUGCUCCAAGGUGAAGCUGAAAGAACAGAUGGUGUCAACAUUUUGAAAGAGCAGACUCAUAGCACCCACCCACCCCUGAGAAUCCAUCUUCAUGGCCAACUCUGCCUGACCCGGGAGACCACCACCCACAUCAUCCUGGAGCCAAGCCUCUACCCCGGGAUGACUUCAUCAUCUCCCUCCUGUCUUUUUCUUCUUCCUCCUUUCCUGUAAUUCUGUUUCUUUCCUUUUGUUCCUUCCUUGCUUGAGAGACUCAAAGCACCCGUGACUCUGUUUCCCCAUUUACCCCCUUUUGAAUUUGCACUAAGUCGAUUGCACUGGUUUGGAGUCCCGGAGAUAGCUUUGAGUCUCUCCGUAUGAAUGUAUACAGCGAGUGUGUAAACCUCUUUGGCAAUGCUGCCCCAGUACCCACCUGUCGUCCAUCUCCGUCUGAGGGCAACUGGGUGUGGCCGUGUGCUUGAGGCCUCGCCUUCCCCUCGCCUAGUCUGGAAGCAGUUCCAUCAUAAAGUGUUCAACAUGCCCUACUUCAUCCUUUGCCCCUCCUCACCAGGGCCUCACCAGAGGUCCUGGGUCCAUCAAUAAAUACAGUUACAGUCA